rnacentral:rRNA from 1 species
CCUACGGGGGGCUGCAGUGGGGAAUAUUGCACAAUGGGGGAAACCCUGAUGCAGCGACGCCGCGUGAGUGAAGACGUAAUUCGUUAUGUAAAGCUCUAUCAGCAGGGAAGAAAAUGACGGUACCUGAGUAAGAAGCCCCGGCUAACUACGUGCCAGCAGCCGCGGUAAUACGGAGGGGGCAAGCGUUAUCCGGAUUUACUGGGGGUAAAGGGAGCGUAGGGGGUAGUGCAAGUCUGGAGUGAAAGGUGGGGGCUCAACCCCCGGAGUGCUCUGGAAACUGGACGGCUGGAGUGCGGGAGAGGUAAGUGGAAUUCGUAGUGUAGCGGUGAAAUGCGUAGAUAUUAGGAGGAACACCAGUGGCGAAGGCGGCUUACUGGACUGUAACUGACGUUGAGGCUCGAAAGCGUGGGGAGCAAACAGGAUUAGAUACCCCUGUAGUC